CCGAGUGAGGGCCUCGUGCCCGACCUCCAACCCUUUGAAGUUACCAACUCUGUUGCCUCGGGGGCGACCCGGCCCCCGCGCCGGCGCCCCCGCAGGACCACACCACUCUGCGUUGCUGCGUCGGAGUUUGAAGAAAAAUGUUAAUCA
rnacentral:misc_RNA from 1 species